rnacentral:rRNA from 1 species
AGCGAACGCUGGCGGCAGGCCUGACACAUGCAAGUCGAACGAACCCUUCGGGGUUAGUGGCGGACGGGUGAGUAACACGUGGGAACGUGCCUUUAGGUUCGGAAUAACUCAGGGAAACUUGUACUAAUACCGAAUGUGCCCUUCGGGGGAAAGAUUUAUCGCCUUUAGAGCGGCCCGCGUCUGAUUAGCUAGUUGGUGAGGUAAAGGCUCACCAAGGCUACGAUCAGUAGCUGGUCUGAGAGGAUGACCAACCACAUUGGGACUGGGACACGGGCCAAACUCCUACGGGAGGCAGCAGUGGGGAAUCUUGCGCAAUGGGCGAAAGCCUGACGCAGCCAUGCCGCGUGGAUGAUGAAGGUCUUAGGAUUGUAAAAUCCUUUCACCGGUGAAGAUAAUGACUGUAGCCGGAGAAGAAGCCCCGGCUAACUUCGUGCCAGCAGCCGCAGUAAAAC